rnacentral:lncRNA from 1 species
AUCACAUUGGUAUUUUAACAGUGUUAUUGUAAGAGUUUAAAUGUUUAAACAGAGGAUACAUCUAAAACAGGAUAAAACAAGUGCAGUAUGUUCUGAGAAUGUUACUGUUUGUCCAGUGUGUGUGUGUGUGUGUUUGUCCAGUGUGUGUGUGUGUGUGUUUGUCCAGUGUGUGUGUGUGUGUGUGUGUUUGUCCAGUGUGUGUGUGUGUGUGUGUUUGUCCAGUGUGUGUGUGUGUGUGUGUGUCCAGUGUGUGUGUGUGUGUGUGUGUGUGUCCAGUGUGUGUGUGUGUGUCCAGUGUGUGUGUGUGUGUGUCCAGUGUGUGUGUGUGUGUCCAGUGUGUGUGUGUGUGUGUCCAGUGUGUGUGUGUGUGUGUCCAGUGUGUGUGUGUGUCCAGUGUGUGUGUGUGAGUCCAGUGUGUGUGUGUGUGUGUUUGUCUAGUGUGUGUGUCCAGUGUGUGUGUGUCUGUGUGUAUCCAGUGUUUGUGUGUGUGUGUCCAGUGUGUGUGUUUGUCCACUUUGUUUGUCCAGUGUGUGUGUGUGUGUGUGUCCAGUGUGUGUGUGUGUGUGUGUGUGUGUGUAUUUUUGUUUGACCAGUGUGUGUGUGUGUGUGUGUGUGUGUGUGUGUGUGUGUGUCCAGUGUGUGUGUGUGUGUGUGUGUGUGUGUGUGUGUCCAGUGUGUGUGUGUGUAUGUGUGUGAGUCUGUGUGUGUUUUCGUUUGUCCAGUGUGCGUGUGUCCAGAAUGUGUUUGUGUGUGUUUGUUCAGUGUGUGUGUUGAGUGUGUGUGUCCAUUUUGUGUCCAGUUUGUGUGUGUUCAGUGUGUGUUCAGUGUGUGUUCAGUGUGUGUGUGUGUGUGUGUGUGUGUGUGUCCAGUGUGUGUGUGUGUGUGUCCAGUGUGUGUGUGUGUGUGCCCAGUUUGUGUGUCCAGUGUGUGUGUUUGUGUGUGUUUGUGUGUGUGUGUUUGUGUGUGUCCAGUGUGUGUGUGUUUGUGUGUGUGUGUGUGUUUUUGUGUGUGUGUGUGUGUGUGUGUGUGUGUUUGUCCAGUGUGUGUGUGUGUGUGUGUGUGUGUGUGUUGUGUGUGUGUGUGUGUGUGUGUUUGUCCAGUGUGUGUGUGUGUGUGUGUUUGUCCAGUGUGUGUGUGUGUUUGUCCAGUGUGUGUGUGUGUGUGUGUGUGUUUGUCCAGUGUUUGUGUGUGUGUGUCCAGUGUGUGUGUGUGUGUGUCCAGUGUGUGUGUGUGUGUGUCCAAUGUGUGUGUGUGUGUGUGUCCAGUGUGUGUGUGUGUGUGUCCAGUGUGUGUGAGUCCAGUGUGUGUGAGUCCAGUGUGUGUGUGUGUGUGAGUCCAGUGUGUGUGUGUUUGUCCAGUGUGUGUGUGUGUUUGUCCAGUGUGUGUGUGUGUGUGUGUGUGUGUGUGUGUGUGUGUGUUGUCCAGUGUGUUUGUGUGUGUGUUUGUCCAGUGUGUGUGUGUGUGUGUUUGUCCAGUGUGUGUGUGUGUGUGUUUGUCCAGUGUGUGUGUGUGUGUGUGUUUGUCCAGUGUGUGUGUGUGUGUGUGUUUGUCCAGUGUGUGUGUGUGUGUGUGUGUGUGUCCAGUGUGUGUGUGUGUGUGUGUGUGUCCAGUGUGUGUGUGUGUGUGUGUCCAGUGUGUGUGUGUGUGUCCAGUGUGUGUGUGUGUGUCCAGUGUGUGUGUGUGUGUCCAGUAUGUGUGUGUGUGUGUCCAGUGUGUGUGUGUCCAGUGUGUGUGUGUGUCCAGUGUGUGUGUGUGAGUCCAGUGUGUGUGUGUGUGUGUGUUUGUCUAGUGUGUGUGUCCAGUGUGUGUGUGUCUGUGUGUAUCCAGUGUUUGUGUGUGUGUGUGUCCAGUGUGUGUGUUUGUCCACUUUGUUUGUCCAGUGUGUGUGUGUGUGUGUGUCCAGUGUGUGUGUGUGUGUGUGUGUGUGUAUUUUUGUUUGACCAGUGUGUGUGUGUGUGUGUGUGUGUGUGUGUGUGUGUGUGUGUCCAGUGUGUGUGUGUGUGUGUGUGUGUGUGUCCAGUGUGUGUGUGUGUAUGUGUGUGAGUGUGUGUGUGUUUUCGUUUGUCCAGUGUGCGUGUGUCCAGAAUGUGUUUGUGUGUGUUUGUUCAGUGUGUGUGUUGAGUGUGUGUGUCCAUUUUGUGUCCAGUUUGUGUGUGUUCAGUGUGUGUUCAGUGUGUGUGUGUGUGUGUUCCAGUGUGUGUGUCCAGUGUGUGUGUGUGUGUGUGUAUUU